GAAUCAAAGACCUGCUGUACAAUUUAAGAUUGGGAUUGGCAAGAAGUCCGUGGGUACAGCACAAGAAUUGAGCUUACAGAAUAAGGGUGUUGAGAAGAUGAGCCCAUGGUCUGGAAAGGAUAGUGAGAAGGAUGAUAAGAAAAUAAGGGCUGAGAAAAUUCUGAAACAGUCUACAGAUAACCCAAGGGAACUGGCUCAGUUGUAAAAUAGGUUUGAUUAGAAUCUGUAUACUUGUUUAGG
rnacentral:misc_RNA from 1 species